AUGCUGUGUCUGAAGAUUGUUAAAGUCGUGACCCAGACAGCCCUCCGCAUUCUCCUACCAGCGCUAGCUCGUAUCAUGGGGGUGAACCUGAGGAGUGGGGCAACCUCCCCAGAAUCCCAGUGCUCUCUGACAGGGUCUGAGGAUUCCUUAGGCGGUCUGGAUGAGAGAGAGAAAAGGCUGCUGAUCAGUGAGAUGAACUACUGGACUAAGGAGAGGAGGAGGAAUGGCAGUGCAGGAUGCCGCCAAAAAUCCACUUGCAGGACCUCAUCACCAUGCUGUUCGCCUAAGAGAUCCAGCCCCUGACGGUUGCCCUGACCCAGACUACAUCCCCGGGUCCAGAUGAUUCCAGCAGGCACAGCCCAGGUGGUUCAGCAGAAGCUCCUCCAGCAGCAGGUGGUGACUGCAGCUGCCUCGCUUCAGAUACAGACCGCCCCUCCUCACAGCCCGGCCCAACAGGCCCCAGUUUCUGUUGCAGCAGAGUCCCCAGUACAGCAGCAGCCAGCCAAGGGCCAGGCUCGCGGAGGGGCCUUGAGGUGCAAGACCCAGUCCAAGCCUAGCGGGGGCAGCAGCUAGGUGCCCGCAGGACUAGUUAGAGCUCCCCUUUCAGCUAGACUAAGCAGGACAUCUCAUCAGUGUAAAUGCACUCAGUGACUGAGGAGCAGCAUUAUGAAGAGAUCCAGCGUUAUGAAGGAGUGGUGGAGUCCAGUCUGAGGUGGCUGUGUUGAAUCUAACCUGGUUUAAGGAACUGCUCCAUGUAAAGGAAUGACCUGUCUUUUAAGAGUGUCAUCAUCUAUCUUCAACACAGUACUGUAACUGUCGGCUGUUUCCUUCGCGACUGUUUCAGAAGGUCUCCCCUGGAGGAAACCUGGACCAACAUCCAGGGUUUAAGAUCAGAAAAGCAGAAAAACAAUAUUCAUGCCUUUUUUUAAAUUGAUGAAUAUAUUAAUGUUACUCCAUAGAUAUCCUGUGGCUAUGGGCUGGUGCAUAGCUCAUUUGGGGAAUGUCCAUUUGAAUAAUGUUUUGUGUAUUCAUACAUUGUCCCUGUCCGCCUUGAUGAUAUUAUUCUCAUGCUUACCGUUUAUGAUGUCAGUAAUUUCAUAGUUGGUAGAUAUAGAAAACACCCUUCUUGUUAAAAAAAACCUAUGUAGUGAUAAUCAUAUCUUUACGUUGUAAGUUUGAGCUAUGUAGUCUGAAGAAAGCUUGUGAUUGUGUCUCUGGCACCCGGAUAAGCACGCAUCCUACGUUAUCUCCCAAGGCAGGCAGUAUUACCACUGCACUGGAUAACCUAGCUAUCUAUAGUGGCAACCAGCUAAUAUUUUCAUUACAUAAAGUGCAUUCGGAAAGUAUUCAGACCCCUUGACCUUUUCCACAUUGUUACGUUACAGGCUUAUUCUAAAAUUGAUUCAAUCCCCCCCCUCUACAGAUAAUAACCCAUAAUAAGAAAGCAAAAACUGUUCUAUUAUUUUUUUAAUCAAAAACCUAUGUACUAAAAAUAAAAUACUGAUAUCACAUUUACAAAUAUUCAGACCCUUUACUCAGUACUUUGUUGAAGCACCUUUGGUAGCGAUUAC
rnacentral:lncRNA from 1 species